CAAUUUCUGUUCUCAUCCUGAAGCAAAGUUCUUAACCCGAGGCCAUUGACCAAAGUUAUCAGAGCUCAAGAGCACAUUUCAGAUGGGUAAACCACUCAAGGAGGGUGUGGAAGAAGGUGAGAGAUGUGGUCCAGGAGAAGAUAUAGCCAGGAGAGAAUCCUAAGGACCAGGCAGAAUGGCCUGGAGGUCUGAUUUGGGUCUGGGCGUAAAUUUCCCACCUCUGGUGUAUAGGAUUGCAGCCAUAAGAUGAUAAUUUUUUUAAAAAUCAAAACAAGAGAGGAUUUGAUGCAGGCACCUAAGAAUUUGAUUCCCCCACUGCCAGUUCCCACUAUUGCGACUGGUUCUGACUCUGUGCAGGCAUGAAUAAAGCGAGUCUAGGUGCAGAAAGGCCUGGAUGCUAACAUGAAAAUGCAUACUACGAAACUCUCUGCUUGCCAGCUGGCCAAACCAAAUGUAUUAGCAAAAUUGGCAAGCGGAGGAGAAUGACACAAUUUUCAGUGCUGUGACAAAUCGCAUGGCAUUUUGCUGCCUUGUUGCAGUGGGGUGGGGUGGGGGAGCUCAUCCGGAAGAGGGAGCUGGGAAUGGUUCAGGCACAACUGCUUAACUCGGUGCUUGCAGCUGUUCCCGCAGCCUGGGUUUUGCCAUGCCCACACCAAAGCAUCGGCGCCAUGUUCUGCGUAUAGGUGGAGAAAUCUGAAUCAUUUACUCCCAGCCUUCAGACCGAAGUGACAGAACAGAGGCAGAACCAGUUCUAAGGAUGGAAACCAAGUGAAUAAAUGUGGAGCUGAACCUUUCGUAGUCGUGCGGAAAGGGGAAUUUUCUCCAGGUGCAGUUUUUCUGUCUCUGAGGCUGUUUGAAUUGACACCUGCCAAAAAACCUCUCUUCUGAACAGCUGUUUCCACGCAGGAAACACUUCCCUUAAUAUCAUUUUGUUUUAUUUUUUCCCCAAGUGAAAUGUUGGGUGUACACAGAAUGUAUAUAUAUUUUUGGUGGUUUUCAAGUUGAUUUUGUAUUGGAAAUUGCAAAGGCCCUGUAGGCUAGACAAUAAAACGUCUCCCCCCCCUCUUGCUUUCUUACAUAAAAUAUGAAAUUGUGAUCCAUCAAGCGAGUCACAAAUUAUGCUAACCACUAGGUAUACUGUGAAUCACAGCCUUCUCCCUGGCAUGCUAAGUUUUAUACGUAUGGAAAUUUUUUAAACAAUGAGGCAGGAUUUCAUCACAUGAGAUCCCACCUGCAGUCUGAAAUGAUACAACCCAGAUACAGAUUAAGCACCUCAGUGGGAGCUAAGCCACAGCUGGUUCUCUAGGCUAGGAUCCAGCCUUCAAGACUGAUGUUCUUGGGCAAAGCUCCAACACCCUUGGCAUCCUUAACGGUUCAAGGUCUGCAGUGACACUCACAGCUACAUUAGAAACGCUGGAUAUUUUUACGAUGAAGAGGAGAAUGAAACAUUUUCCUCCAAACCAACGGAAUUCUAGAACUCAGACGACAUCGGACGGCAGGACAAGGAUGGCAGCUGAGUCCUACGCAUGUUUGCUUGGAAGUAAAUCCCACGGGUCUUAAUGGGAAUCGACUACCAUUGCUGCAUCGUCCCUAGUCAUCCAUCUAGCCAAGCAGCUAGGGCGACUGUCUAACAUAUUUUACACGUUGAGUUGGCUGCUUUGGGCUUCAUGGGCCACCAUUUAUGCAGACCUAGACAACUAGGCAUGAUUAGAUUUGAAACCAAUAUAAUAAUUUUAAAGAAGAUUAUAUCUGGCAAUGGGCCAAUAUAUACUGUCUCACAAACGUAUGUCUUCACCUUGCUUAAACAGCAAGGUCAAUUUUUCACCUGUUAAGGAGAAUAAUAAAUCAUAAUAAAUCAUUGAGUGGAAACUGA